CGUAGGUGGCAAGCGUUGUCCGGAAUUAUUGGGCGUAAAGCGCGCGCAGGCGGUCCUUUAAGUCUGAUGUGAAAGCCCACGGCUCAACCGUGGAGGGUCAUUGGAAACUGGGGGACUUGAGUACAGAAGAGAAGAGUGGAAUUCCACGUGUAGCGGUGAAAUGCGUAGAGAUGUGGAGGAGCACCAGUGGCGAAGGCGACUCUUUGGUCUGUAACUGACGCUGAGGCGCGAAAGCGUGGGGAGCAAACAGGAUUAGAUACCCUGGUAGUCCACGCUGUAAACGAUGAGUGCUAAGUGUUAGAGGGUUUCCGCCCUUUAGUGCUGCAGCUAACGCAUUAAGCACUCCGCCUGGGGAGUACGGCCGCAAGGCUG
rnacentral:rRNA from 1 species